CCUACAGGUGGCAGCAGUGGGGAAUAUUGCACAAUGGGGGAAACCCUGAUGCAGCGACGCCGCGUGAGUGAAGAAGUAUUUCGGUAUGUAAAGCUCUAUCAGCAGGGAAGAAAUAGCGACCUUUGGGUCGCCAGACGGUACCUGAUUAAGAAGCCCCGGCUAACUACGUGCCAGCAGCCGCGGUAAUACGUAGGGGGCAAGCGUUAUCCGGAUUUACUGGGUGUAAAGGGAGCGUAUACGGCAGCGCAAGUCUGAAGUGAAAUGCCGGGGCUUAACCCCGGAACUGCUUUGGAAACUGUGCAGUUAGAGUGCAGGAGGGGUAAGUGGAAUUCCUAGUGUAGCGGUGAAAUGCGUAGAUAUUAGGAGGAACACCAGUGGCGAAGGCGGAUUACUGGACUGUAACUGACGUUGAGGCUCGAAAGCGUGGUGAGCAAACAGGAUUAGAUACCCGAGUAUC
rnacentral:rRNA from 1 species